GGGUUGUGAGGUUAAGCGACUAAGCGUACACGGUGGAUGCCCUGGCAGUCAGAGGCGAUGAAGGACGUGCUAAUCUGCGAAAAGCGUCGGUAAGGUGAUAUGAACCGUUAUAGCCGGCGAUGUCCGAAUGGGGAAACCCAGUGUGAUUCGUCACACUAUCGUUAACUGAAUACAUAGGUUAACGAGGCGAACCGGGGGAACUGAAACAUCUAAGUACCCCGAGGAAAAGAAAUCAACCGAGAUUCCCCCAGUAGCGGCGAGCGAACGGGGAGCAGCCCAGAGUCUGAAUCAGCUUGUGUGUUAGUGGAACGGUCUGGAAAGUCCGACGGUACAGGGUGAUAGUCCCGUACACCAAAAUGCACAGGUUGUGAACUCGAAGAGUAGGGCGGGACACGUGGUAUCCUGUCUGAAUAUGGGGGGACCAUCCUCCAAGGCUAAAUACUCCUGACUGACCGAUAGUGAACCAGUACCGUGAGGGAAAGGCGAAAAGAACCCCGGCGAGGGGAGUGAAAAAGAACCUGAAACCGUGUACGUACAAGCAGUGGGAGCACCUU
rnacentral:rRNA from 2 species